rnacentral:rRNA from 1 species
UACGUAGGGUGCAAGCGUUGUCCGGAAUUAUUGGGCGUAAAGAGCUCGUAGGCGGUUUGUCGCGUCGAAUGUGAAAACCCGGGGCUCAACCCCGGGCCUGCAUUCGAUACGGGCAGACUAGAGUUCGGUAGGGGAGUCUGGAAUUCCUGGUGUAGCGGUGAAAUGCGCAGAUAUCAAGAGGAACACCGGUGGCGAAGGCGGGACUCUGGGCCGAUACUGACGCUGAGGAGCGAAAGUGUGGGGAGCGAACAGG